UUUAAUUGAUAUAUGUGCCAUCAGCAAAAGGAUGUUUAUGCAGUGGAUUGCUAUGUUGUACCAACAUGGCUACCUCCACAUUGUCCGGAUACCUCGUCUUUCCCCAAUGAUUUGGCAAACAAAGAUUUUGUCCUCAUACCUAUUUGGAAACCAGGACACUACAUGCUCUGUGUUUUGAAGCGGAGUGAGAGACACAUUCUUUUCCUAGACUCCUUAUUCCAUAAACAUCCGGAAGCCUCAGUUGGCUUUGGCGACCAACGAUACAUUCAGAUUUGCAGUGAUCUGGCGCAGAGGAUUCUUCCAGGAGAAUGGACUGUGAUCCACAUCAAGGACAUCAAAGUAAAAUGGGUUUCUACGUAUUGGUUACUUUCCAUGAAUGAACUGUGCUGGAUGUUGUCCACUGUCUUACUGUAUUUCUGAUUUAAGGGUCUCCCAAGACAGACAGAUGGCAAUGCCUGUGGUAUCUUUAUGUUAAUGGUAUUG